CCGUCCGCUGCGACUGGCACGGAUUUGGUCUUCACUGGUAGCCUGGUUACAUACACUCCCAGGUCUUUCUCUGCCUCUGUGGUGGAUAGUGGAGUGUUUCCCAUGUGGUAUUGGUGUGCUGGAUAUCCCUUCACUGGUAGCCUGGUUACAUACACUCCCAGGUCUUUCUCUGCCUCUGUGGUGGAUAGUGGAGUGUUUCCCAUGUGGUAUUGGUGUGCUGGAUUUCCCUUCACUGGUAGCCUGGUUACAUACACUCCCAGGUCUUUCUCUGCCUCUGUGGUGGAUAGUGGAGUGUUUCCCAUGUGGUAAUGGUGUGCUGGAUAUCCCUUCACUGGUAGCCUGAUAACAUACACUCCCAGGUCUUUCUCUGCCUCUGUGGUGGAUAGUGGAGUGUUUCCCAUGUGGUAUAGGUGUGCUGGAUAUCCCUUCACUGGUAGCCUGGUAACAUACACUCCCAGGUCUUUCUCUGCCUCUGUGGUGGAUAGUGGAGUGUUUCCCAUGUGGUAUUGGUGUGCUGGAUAUCCCUUCACUGGUAGCCUGGUAACAUACACUCCCAGGUCUUUCUCUACCUCUGU